rnacentral:lncRNA from 1 species
UGAAAUAAAUAACUAUGAAGUCCUGAGAAUAACUGCAUAUUCCUUUCAUGUUAAGGCCAAAGUUAAAGGGGCUAGCGUAAGCUAUGGGACCCUAUACUUUACAUCUUACCAAUAAUUCUAUUCCAUCUUAUCACUAUAAUCCAACCUUAGGUCUCAAAUCAAGGGGUACUAGCUGCAUAAUAUUAGGGUUUUGUGCAUCUAUCAAUCAUCACAUCCAAGCCUAUCUUUAUUAUACCCUAUUUAUAGAUCUCCCCACCAAAACUAGCAAC